rnacentral:SRP_RNA from 1 species
UAAUGGAGCUACUACAAUAGCAUCCCGCUAAACGUGUCAGGUCGGGAACGAAGCAGCACCGUGCUGGCUCUGUUAUGUGUAGUAGUUUUUUUAUUGUCU